rnacentral:rRNA from 1 species
UACAGGGGGGGGCAAGCGUUGUUCGGAAUUACUGGGCGUAAAGGGUUCGUAGGUGGCCACUUAAGUCAGACGUGAAAAUCCCUCAGCUUAACUGGGGAACUGCGUCUGAUACUGAGUGGCUUGAGUGCAGGAGAGGGAUGCGGAAUUCCAGGUGUAGCGGUGAAAUGCGUAGAUAUCUGGAGGAACACCGGUGGCGAAGGCGACUACCUGGCCUGUUCUUGACGCUGAGGCGCGAAAGCUAGGGGAGCAAACGGGG